rnacentral:rRNA from 1 species
GACGAACGCUGGCGGCGUGCUUAACACAUGCAAGUCGAACGGACAGACAGAGAGCUUGCUCUCUUGAAGUUAGCGGCGAACGGGUGAGUAACGCGUAAUCAACCUGCCCUUCAGAGGGGGAUAACAACGGGAAACCGUUGCUAAUACCGCGUACGAUUCAUGAACGGCAUCGUUUAUGAAUGAGAGGUGGCCUCUAUGUAUAAGCUAUCGCUGAAGGAGGGGAUUGCGUCUGAUUAGCUGGUUGGAGGGGUAACGGCCCACCAAGGCAAUGAUCAGUAGCCGGUCUGAGAGGAUGACCGGCCACAUUGGGACUGAGACACGGCCCAAACUCCUACGGGAGGCAGCAGUGGGGAAUCUUCCGGAAUGGACGAAAGUCUGACGGAGCAACGCAGCGUGAGUGAUGAAGGUCUUCGGAUUGUAAAGCUCUGUUAAUCGGGACGAAAGAGUUCUGCGUGAAUAAUGCAGAAAAGUGACGGUACCGGAAUAGGAAGCCACGGCUAACUACGUGCCAGCCGCCGCCGUAA